rnacentral:lncRNA from 1 species
GUCCUGGAGAUGAGUGGCGAUGUCCGAACCGUAAAUGCAUAUCACGUGACUGGCUUUGCGACGGCGACGAUGACUGCGGAGAUAAUACAGAUGAAUUGCCAUCCAACUGUUUAAAAAUUGCAUCUCAACAAAGAUGUGGAAACCUAAAUAUAACUGGAUCUGCAGGCACAAUCACCAGUCCAGGCUAUCCUUCCACGUACCCAAGAGAUGUUUACUGUACCAACUUUGUACAGGCACCUACAGGAACAAAGACGCUUGCGUUUAAAUUUGAUGAUCAUUUUCACAUAGAGCCUGAUACUACGUGUCAUUACGACUUCGUGAAAAUCACCGGUGACACAAUAGCAUCCUCGCACGGUCCAUUCUGUGGAAACGUAGCUCCAGGACAGUUCACAGUGUCUGGAGAUCAUGCCUACGUGAUCUUCAGCUCAGAUGUCACGAACGAGUAUUCAGGUUUCAGAUUGAACUGGACAGCUAUGCAGUGAUUACAGUCGUAGAAAAUAUUGUUAGAACAGUAAUGAUUCCUAAAAAAGAACUUUCAGUUUAUGUGUAUUUUCUUAGUCUUAUAAAUCACAUGGA